rnacentral:rRNA from 1 species
AGUAAUGCGUGACCAACCUCGCCCCAUGCUCCAGAAUAGCUCUUGGAAACGGGUGGUAAUGCUGGAUGCUCCAACUUGACGCAUGUCUUGUUGGGNAAAGUGUUUAGUGGCAUGGGAUGGGGUCGCGUCCCAUCAGCUUGUAGGCGGGGUAAUGGCCCACCUAGGCUUCGACGGGUAGCCGGCCUGAGAGGGCGGACGGCCACAUUGGGACUGAGAUACGGCCCAGACUCCUACGGGAGGCAGCAGCC